UACGAAGGGGGCUAGCGUUGCUCGGAAUUAUUGGGCGUAAAGAGCUCGUAGGCGGUCUGUCGCGUCGAUCGUGAAAACUUGGGGCUUAACCCUGAGCUUGCGGUCGAUACGGGCAUGACUGGAGUUCGGCAGGGGAGACUGGAAUUCCUGGUGUAGCGGUGAAAUGCGCAGAUAUCAGGAGGAACACCGGUGGCGAAGGCGGGUCUCUGGGCCGAUACUGACGCUGAGGAGCGAAAGCGUGGGGAGCGAACAGG
rnacentral:rRNA from 1 species